AACCCAGGUUAUGCAUUAGCUACAAUCCUGUAUGGAUUAUUCUUUUAUUCUAAUGGGCCAAGAAAAUGAUGGAUAUACUUUUGCAGCCCAAUUGCAGAGGUUACACAUCGAUAUUGAGAAUCUCCGGGAGGAGAAGGACAGUGAAAUCACAAGUACCAGAGAUGAAUUGCUUAGUGCCCGAGAUGAAAUUUUGCUCCUUCAUCAAGCGGCAGAAAAGGUUGCCUCUGAGCGGGACACUGACAUUGCUUCUUUACAAGAAGAGCUUAAGAAGGUGAGAGCUGAGCUUGAGCGGUGGCGGAAAGCAGCGUCUGAAUAUGAGAAAGAAAUCACAAGUCUGCAAAACAGUUUUCAGCUUAGAUGUCAACAGUGUGAGGACCAGCAGAGAGAAGAAGCAACAAGGUUGCAAGGUGAACUAGAGAAGUUGAGAAAGGAAUGGAAUGCAUUGGAAACCGAAUGCCAUUCUCUAAAAAGGGAAAAUGUUUUGCUAUCAUCAGAACUGCAACGGCAAGAAAAAGAAUUGCACAAUUCUCAGAAGCAGAGUUUAGAGCUUACCAGUGAUCUCAGCAUCCUUCAAAUGUCUAGGAAAGAACU
rnacentral:sRNA from 1 species